UACACAAUCUGCCUUAUACUGGAGCAUACCCCCAAGAAAUUGGGACUAAUUCUCCAUAACAUAUUGAAAAGGCAUCUUUUUAAUAUUAAAACUCAGGUGGUAUAAGAUGAGUGUGCGUCUGAUUAGCUAGUUGGUGAGGUAACGGCUCACCAAGGCAACGAUCAGUAACUGGUCUGAGAGGAUGAUCAGUCACACGGACACUGAGACACGGGUCCGACUCCUACGGGAGGCAGCAGUAGGGAAUAUUGGACAAUGGGCGCAAGCCUGAUCCAGCCAUCCCGCGUGAAGGAUUAAGGCCCUCUGGGUUGUAAACUUCUUUUUUUGGGGAAUAAAAACCGGUAUUCUUAUCGGCUUGAAGGUACCCAAAGAAUAAGCACCGGCUAACUCCGUGCCAGCAGCCGCGGUAAUACGGAGGGUGCAAGCGUUAUCCGGAUUCACUGGGUUUAAAGGGUGCGUAGGUGGCUUUGUAAGUCAGUGGUGAAAUCUCGGAGCUUAACUCCGAAA
rnacentral:rRNA from 1 species